rnacentral:rRNA from 1 species
AUUGAACGCUGGCGGCAUGCUUUACACAUGCAAGUCGAACGGUAACAGGCCUUCGGGUGCUGACGAGUGGCGAACGGGUGAGUAAUGCAUCGGAACGUGCCCAAUCGUGGGGGAUAACGUAGCGAAAGUUACGCUAAUACCGCAUAAGCCCUGAGGGGGAAAGCAGGGGAUCGCAAGACCUUGCGCGAAUGGAGCGGCCGAUGUCAGAUUAGCUAGUUGGUGGGGUAAAGGCCUACCAAGGCGACGAUCUGUAGCGGGUCUGAGAGGAUGAUCCGCCACACUGGGACUGAGACACGGCCCAGACUCCUACGGGAGGCAGCAGUGGGGAAUUUUGGACAAUGGGGGCAACCCUGAUCCAGCCAUGCCGCGUGCGGGAAGAAGGCCUCGGUUGUAACCGCUUUAACCGGUAAGAAAGGACGAUCUCUUAAUACGGGUGUUCGUUGUACGGUACCGGUGGAAGUAAGACACCGGCUAACUACGUGCCAGCAGCCGCGGU